AAACCGCCCAGAGGUAAACGGGUGGAUCCGCAAAGUCGGCCCGCGGAAUUCAGCGCGGCGCGCAGCCUUGGGCUGCCGCGACCCGGGAUCCCUGGGACCCGGUCGCGGUGCCGGGCAGGGCUCCGCCGCGUGCACUUUCCGCGGGCAGAGAGCCACAACCGGUUCGGCGGGCGGUGACAAGCCCGGUGGGUUGUAGGUGGGGGCGCUCGCGUCCCUACCAGCCUACCGCGGCGAGCCGCCUCCGGACCGAGGGACCGCCGCGCGCCUCUAGGCCACCCUCCCCUCCGGGUGAGUUCGACUGGGAGAGACUGGGCAACCGUGUCUCCCGACCGCUCAUCUGCGAUCGGUGCGGGGCUGGCCGGGCGCGCUCGUCAGGGUUGGUGGCAAGUCUGUCGGCAUUCCACCCGACCCGUCUUGAA
rnacentral:rRNA from 1 species